AUUCCAACUUGGAUGAAAGCCCUGACUCCCACACAGACCAAAGAAAACAGAACGUCUAAGACUGGUAAUGGAAAUGGUUCUUCCAGGCAGAACGAACAUUCCCUGGAGUGAUGCUGAAAAAAAGUGGUUUGGCGACAGCAAGGGACCUGCAUAACACUAAUGAAAGUUCCUGGGAAAGACAAAUGUUUAAAGUGCCUACAGAAAGAACCAGUGCUUCAAACCAGGGGCUGGAGAGAUGUCAAAAAUCAUGUUCACAAUGUAAUCCAAUCACAAAGAAGAAACUGAUUGAUAAAUUUCUGUUCUUUAAAGAAGUAAAGUAACCUUUAACUAUCCUCUCUCCCUCUUAAAUUCAUCCUGAUUUUCUGACUCUUUAUUCUGCACAACAAACAAAACUUUACGUAUUUCUUCCUUUAGUUUUGCCAUCCAGAUGUGUACUUUUAGAGCUGACUAUGUUGUUAGAUGUUGAGCUUGUGAGCCUGUUUUUGACAGGUAUUCUGUGUCGAUUUUUUUAUUAAAUAAAAUAUUUCUGUUAUAAAUAAAUUACCAUCUUCUCUGAUUUCUAAUUUUGGAGCUUGUAAUGUAGUGCUUGUCAAAUAACCGGUUUUGUUUCUCUAUACUUU